UGCAGUGUCAGCAAAAUCAAGAAGGAGCCUGGACACAGUGAGAAGUGAAGAGGCUAGGACAAAGGGUGGCAGAAUCUCUAACUAUUUCCUGGCUCUGUCACUUAACCAAGCAGAAAUAAAGAUUUUUUUGACUGUUUGGAAAGUUUGUGGCCCUAAGCCGUUUUACUUAAUGUUUAAUUUACAACAAAUAAACCAUUCAGCUUAAAGUCUAUGCCUACAUUUCUGAGAACAGCCAAGUAGAGAGUGUACGACAGAGUCCUGAAAAACGAAAAAACCAACUAAAGUGCCAGCAUAUCUCAGGGUAAAGUGAGGAGAAUAAAGACAACUGAAGACCCCACUUUUUCUCAUCUCUUGUAUGAAAUGCAAAUUUGUCACAUUGAUCCUUAUAAGUUUAGAAGAUUAAAUGCUACUUUGCAGUAACAGUUGGCUGGCAUUGAAAUAAAUUCACGGCAACUACAGAGCGCUACAGUCUAGUUUUGCUUCCUGCCUAGGACCCACCCAGAUGUUCAGCCUCCUGCCUGCAUAUGAAAUUGGUCAUUUCUUCUACUAAAAGAGUCGACAUUCAAGUGUUUGGAAAAAAUAAAAGAAGGAAGAAAUAAAAGAAAAGAAAAGAGAGAGAAUUUAAGAUCUCUUGAUUCCUGAACACGGUGAAAAGUAAAAGUCAACGAAGAGUGAUUUCUGGCUAUGGCAGAAUCCAGAUGUCAGACUGGGAGAUGAUGAAGUGACAUUGAUUUGAACUAAGUGAGGAGCUUCAGUUGUCCAUUGUCGAAGCUGACAUCAGCCUCUACCCACCAUCAGUUGUCUUUUAUUAGACAAACUUGAACAAACAACUUUGUCUAAGCUGGGAGAGAAGGAGCUUUGGAGUGACGGAAGGAAGCCAAGACCUGUGAAUAUGCAAAGAAACACAGCUAGAAUCAUCAGAGUGAUCCCACAAGGAAGACACAUGCUCCUGAAAGAAAGGCCAAAUUUUAAAGUUUUGUGAUCAGGGUUUUUGAGACGCAUCUUCAGGAGUGGCCAUUGCAGACAGAACAGAUGAUAGAAGAGCAAGAAGACCUUAGCAAGACAGCUUUCACACUUCUCUUCCAGCUUAACUAAAGUUGCUCGCUUUUACAGAAUUCAUAAAUUUGAAUUUGAUGAAAGAUUUCAUUUAAAGCUGUGUAAGUGCUAAAAAAUAAAUGAAUAAAACCACUGCCAACUUGA
rnacentral:lncRNA from 1 species